GGUGGAGCGAUUUGUCUGGUUUAUUCCGAUAACGAACGAGACUCUGGCCUACUAAAUAGAGACAGGAUUAUUACUGUCCUGGAUUCUUCUUAGAGGGACAAGUGGUUUUCAGCCACACGAAAUUGAGCAAUAACAGGUCUGUGAUGCCCUUAGAUGUCCGGGGCUGCACGCGCGCUACACUGAAGGAAUCAGCGUGCUAAAACCAUUGUCGAAAGGCAUUGGUAAACCCCUCAAAAUCCUACGUGAUUGGGAUCGGGAAUUGCAAUUAUUUCCCUUGAACGAGGAAUUCCCAGUAAGUGUGGGUCAUAAGCUCGCGUUGAAUACGUCCCUGCCCUUUGUAC
rnacentral:rRNA from 1 species